AGGGGGUCUGGGUGGGCAUUUUUAACUUCGGAGGCCACCCAUCUGUUGGUUGGCCAUCUGCAUUUUCUUACUGUUGUUUCCUGCCCAGAGGACACACUUGGGGUGUGCGGAGUGCCGCCCACUGCUUGGGACCCUGAGGAUCACCUUGCAACCCCCAUAACGCCCUGCUUCCCACAGGUUUUUAGCGUUCUAUCGUCCUGUUGUGCAUCACCCCAAUAUCCCAGACCUGUUACCCAUUCCCCUUUCUCUACUCCUAGCUCAUCAGCACCAGUCGCUGUCUCUUCUCUGUGAUUUCUGUAAAAGUUGCCAUAAAAAUUUGAAAUUCUGCCUGAAAAACAGCCUUCCCGUGAGAAGUUGGGAUUCUAGAGGAGGGAGUUAACGAAGUCUCUGACUGAGACUUGGGCAACUGUGGAAUAGACCAGGUACUCUGGGUUUUUCCAUGCCCCCGGUCCUCUGCAGGACACCCACAUGCACCAGCCACACUGGAAGUCCACACUUGCUUCCCGUAGCCACUCCCCCAUUCGCCACCCCAUUUUCCCUAGCCACGCCCCCCACGCGUCACCCGGGAGCUUUCCUAGCCACGCCUCCAUUCCACCAGCCACAAACUAUUCCUUUUCACUGGGCUUCCUGGGAACACAAAAGGGGAAGACCCAGAUUUGCCUGAUCAGAGAAGCUGGGGCUGAUGGGAGUUUCCUGAAUAAAGCAAGUGAUUUUCUCAGAAUCCUGAAAUAGAAGGAGGGGUGUGUGUGUGUGUGCGUGCCAGUAGGUGCGCGCUCUUCUCCAGGAAAAGGGCACAGACUACGUAAAGGUGUGCAGACUUGCGAGUUACUGGCUUUUUCACACUCCUGCCAGCGGUUAGCAUGAAUGGAGCAUGGGUUGCAUGGGGGUGGGGAGUGGAGAGAACUCAAGAGACUUUAACAGCCCACUCUAAGGAGUUGAGAAUUUAUCUCAAAAGCAAAGAGGAGCUUUGGAAGGGUUUUAAAGAGGGGAGGGAGGCGAAGGGCAAGCAGUUGAUGUCUGAUUCACAUUUUCAAACUUUCCUUCUGGCUGCCUGUGAGAUUGGAGGCUCUCGGAGAUCAGGGAGGAGGCUGGGGCAGCAGAGGAGGUGUCCUGGGGUAGGGAGGUGGAGGUUGGAGGGGUUAUAGCAAGAAGGGGAUGGUUUGGAAGAUAAUGGAUCAGGCCAGAUGAGGGGUUUUGGAAAGAGCGUGCAGGCGGGGCCCUGACAAGAAAGAAGUGGUGCACUCUAGUGGAGUAGUACAUAAAGUAGCACCUUAGUGAAAGGGCUAUUAAGGGAUUAGGGGGUGGACAAGGUCAAGGAAAACAAGCCCAGGAAAGGCGCAGCACCGCGGGGCCGGCAGUAGAGGGAGCAGUUACCACCUCCCAUACCCGCACUUGAAGGUGUGAGAAGACCUGAAGCUGCUGAGACUUGGAGCUGUAGCUGCAGGGAAGGCCAGGGGCAUGGGCGCCCAGGACCCACACUCAAGAGAGAAGGGGGCUGGAGAGUGAACACCCCAACUGACUCUCCUUCCGCUCAUCAGUCUCCUGUGGGUGUCUCCCAUGGGCUGAACUCAACCAGAAGCCGGAGGUUAACGGUUCAAGGCAUAGGUCAGCCUCUUGGGACACAGCAUGACAGAGAAGAGUGGAGAGUGGAUCUGGGAAAUUGAGCAGUGAGGUCUCUCCCUGGUUUGGGAGUGAACGUGGAGACAAGUAUGGGGAAUGGCUUUGGAGAACAGGCUGGCUUCAGGGUGAACAAAGACAGUGCUGCAGAGGCAAGGAAAUGAGUGAACCUGGCUGCAGGAAAAUGAGUAAGAUCUCAGCUUCAAAGAGAAACAUGUCCAGAGCUCGGGACGUGGAUGAGAUGAAGACCACCCUACCCCAAAACCAUGAUCCUUCCCUGGGUGCUAGGAGUCAGCUUGGGAGUGGUUGAAAUUACUUGUCAUGGCAGGAGGCAAUAGCACAACGAUUUCCUCUCUUAGGACCUCCGUUCCCUCAUCUGGAAAAUGGGGUCAAGGACAAUAAUAAUGAGGACAAAUGGUGCAGGACUGUAAUAAGUUAUAUAUAUUUUUAGAAUAACCCUUAGCACAUAGUAAGAGCUCAAUAGGUGGGAAAGUUGUCCCUUUGAGAUAUUUCCAGCUUGCUCACUUUUAUAGUUCAUAUUUUCUCUCUCCCUCCCCUGCCCACUUGCACAUGGGCACACACGCCCCACAAUGGCCAUCCUAGAAAAGCCUCAGAAGGAACGAGAAAUGCAGACUCCCUGUAAACCUGCUUUGCCAUCUGAGUCUCGGUUGCUAAAUCCCAAACCCAGGGGAGAAGAAAUGGGGAAUAUCCCUCCUCUCUCUGUGGCCACCAGACUCUUUCAUUCACUUUAUCCAGCCUGUGCCUGCUCUGUGCCUGGCAUUAUGUUGGGGCCUGCGGUGACCAAAGUAUCCCUGGGCCCCGCUCUCACCUGGUUCACCGAGCAGUGGGGGACACAUGCGAAACAUGGUGCAAGAGGGGGUGGUCAGGCUAGGAUCUGUGAAUGGAAAGACUCUGUAGCAGGACACAGGUGGUGGUGAACUAGGGGACUGGAGCUGGUAUAAACAAGCAGGGUGCAGGGGAAUGGACAAGGAGAAGGAUGGUGCAGGAGUCUGGGGCUAGCAGAGGGGACAGCUAGUAUUGCCCGGAGCCUGGCAAGGUGGGGAUGGGGUGAGGAGUGGACAGUGACUUCCAGAAGCUGGAAAGGAUGGCCACAUGGAAAGGCAAUCCCACAAGAGCUGUGGCAUCCAAUCAUCCCACACGUAGGGGGUGAGGGUGGGGGGCAGUGGGAGGUGCAGGGGCGAAUGCCUGACCUCACGCUCCUGGGGCAGGGCUCUACAGGAAUCCAUAGGACAGAGAGCCCGCGGAUGCAUUCCAUUAGGCCACACUGUGGUAGGCUGAAUAAUGCCCCCCCCCCCAGUAGGUCCACUUGCUAAUCCUCAGAACUUGUGAUAUGUUCCUUGACACAGCCAGAGGGACUUCACAAAUGUGGGUAAGCUCAACAUAUUGCGAGGCAGACACUACAUUCGAUUACCUGCGUGGUUCCUAAGUACAACCAGGAGGGUCUCCAGAAGAGUGGGGUGGUGGUGACCGCAGGAGGACAUGGGACAGGGGAAGCAGAGGUAGGCAUUGCCAGGGAAGCGCCACAAGCCAAGGAGCACAGGCGCCUCUGGAAAAUGGAGAAGGCAAGGGAAGACUUCUCCCCUAGAGCCUCCGGAAUGAGCGGCCAUCACCUCGAUUCUGGACUUCUGGCCUCUGGAACUCUAAUGCACGUAUGUUGUUUGAAGCCCCUAAACUUAGGGUGAUGUGUUACAGCAGCAACACGAAAGGAAUACAGAGACUUACCGAAGCCACCUAAUGCCAACUCCGAUCUCUCUGGACCUCAGUAACAUCAGCAUGUAGUGGAAACUUCUUGUGUCUCUGGCUACUAAAUGCACUCACUACAUGUGGGGAUGUUUCCAGCCUUGAGAGUUCAUGUCCUCCAGAUAGAAGCUCUGGAUCUCACCUUCCCAGCCUCCUUUACAGCUGAGACAUGGACACAGGACUUAGAUCCCAUUCAAACAGACUCCCCAGCAGGAGCCCUGAAUUCCAAAGGAGCGCCUUGCCCAAGGAGGCUCCCUAGGUGACCCAUGCAGCUGGUGGGAAUGAUGUGACACAGGCACCCUCUUACGUUGGGAGGGCUUGGUGGUUGCAAGAAGGAGCACAGACACAGAAGUGGCAUUGGUGCUAGGAGCAGGUGCAGUCAUGUCACGGUUCUGGCAGCAGUGCAAACUGGGACACCCAAGACUCAGACACGCCGGUGGCUGUGGAGGUGGUUUCCUUGUCAGAAACGUUUGAGGAAGCAUGCGCAAUUGUUGCUGACAAACUGUGCCAUCAGAAUAGGGGUGACGGAUGAAGUUGACACCGACAUCAAUGCCAGAGGGUCCUGGACCCUUUGUGUUGUCACCUGUUCCAAGAUCAAGGUCCCCAGCAGGACCGGAUCCCGACUCUCUUACUCUCCCCGAACCCAAAACCUACAGUUCCUCAGCCUCAUCUCCCCAAGCCAUUCCCCAAGUCCUUAGCCUGUUUCCCCCAAAUCAAUCUUCUGCCUAAGACCCCGCCCCCCAACUCCCCGGUGUCCCGGUGUCCCACUCCUCAACCACCUUUCCCUGACCCUCCAAGCUCCCUGUCCGGGAUAUCUGUUGCUGUGGAACAAAGCACCCCAAGACUUCGUGACUGAAAGUGACGGGUUCCUAUCCUCUCCUGUGGUUCUGUCGCUGGCUUGGCGUGGGCUCUAUGGGUUGACUUGGGCCGUCUCUGCUUGGGGUCUGUCCCGUGUCCGCAGGCAGCGAUCUGAAGACUCAGCUGGGCAGGUGUCACAAGUAACACGCUUAUGGGGUUGAUGGCGGCGUGUGAGCACCGGGCCGAGAGAUCUGAGGACACUGGCCUUCAAGACUGGAGUCCCUCGGACAACGCCAGAACCUCCGGAAGCUGGAAGAGGCAACGAACGGGUUCUCCCCUCCAGCCUCCAGAGGGAACGCAGCCCUGCCGACACCUUGAUUUUGUCUCAGAGACUGAUUUUGGAAUGUUGGCUUCCAGAACUGUGACAGGAUAAAUCUGUGUUUUAAGCCUCUGAGCUGGUCCUAAUUUGUUACAGCAACUGCAAGAAGUUAAAGGUGACUGAUACGCUUCCUUUAGAGCUGACUCACCACGGCCUCUUGUCUCUUAUUUUCUGGGUAUCACUACAUCCUGAACCUACCUACCUUCUUUCUUUCUUUCUUUCUUUCUUUCUUUCUUUCUUUCUUUCUUUCUUUCUUUCUUUCUUUCUGAUUUAUUUAUUUACUCAUGAGAGGCACAGACUGAGAAAGAGGCAGAGAC